rnacentral:lncRNA from 1 species
GCUUGGUAGAGGGCUGUGCACACAGGGGUCUGCUCAGCUGUGGAGGGGAGCUUCAUUUCCAAAGGAUUCAUUCAAUACCCCUCUAGUAAACAGGAAGAUGUCUGAUGAUUUUUGCAUCCUUUAACAAGUUUUCAGUGUCUCCUUGUUCCUGACGUUAGAACAAUUUUCGUUGGUGUUCCCUUUGCUGCUAUUAGCUUAAAGCCUUUCUUUCUCGCUCUCCCUGUAAAAAAAUCAGGUUUUGCUGUGUAAAGCACAACUUCAGACUUCCUCUCCUUUAUCUAUAAGGCAAACACGAAGCACUAGGAAGAAUGAGGCUCCUAUUUCCCCACCUGUGAAAGUUUAGUGAACUUGACUGCUGGUGGCUGGCCUGAAAAAGUGAGGGUGUCUGGGUGCGGGUGCAGGGAAAUGAUGGGAUGAGGCCCAUGUGCACGGCAUGAAUGUGAGCGUCUUGCCUGAGGAGCUUAUAAAGGCUUCUCCUGGGGUGGGUGGGUUGCUGAAGGUGUGGGCCUUGCUCAUGAGGGGUGUGGGGGUGUCAGGAGUUGGCUGUGUGUUGCACAUACUGAGGUUAGCUUCUCUGGGGAGUGUUAAUCACAGGAUGGGUUUUAAAACUAUACCUGUGAUGCUGAAAACGCAAACUUAG